AUUUCACGGAGAGUUUGAUCCUGGCUCAGGAUGAACGCUGGCGGCGCGCCUAACACAUGCAAGUCGAGCGAGCAGUCACGGUCCUUCGG
rnacentral:rRNA from 1 species